AAAUUGAAGAGUUUGAUCAUGGCUCAGAUUGAACGCUGGCGGCAGGCCUAACACAUGCAAGUCGAACGGUAACAGGAAACAGCUUGCUGUUUCGCUGACGAGUGGCGGACGGGUGAGUAAUGUCUGGGAAACUGCCUGAUGGAGGGGGAUAACUACUGGAAACGGUAGCUAAUACCGCAUAAUGUCGCAAGACUAAAGAGGGGGACCUUCGGGCCUCUUGCCAUCGGAUGUGCCCAGAUGGGAUUAGCUAGUAGGUGGGGUAACGGCUCACCUAGGCGACGAUCCCUAGCUGGUCUGAGAGGAUGACCAGCCACACUGGAACUGAGACACGGUCCAGACUCCUACGGGAGGCAGCAGUGGGGAAUAUUGCACAAUGGGCGCAAGCCUGAUGCAGCCAUGCCGCGUGUAUGAAGAAGGCCUUCGGGUUGUAAAGUACUUUCAGCGGGGAGGAAG
rnacentral:rRNA from 1 species